rnacentral:rRNA from 1 species
GAUGAACGCUGGCAGUAUGCUUAACACAUGCAAGUCGUACGGAUAUGAGUGUUAAAACUUAUAUGAGUGGCGGACGGGUGAGUAAUACGCAAGAAUCUCCCUUAAGGAAAGGGAUAACCUUUGGAAACGAUGGGUAAUCCCUUAUAGAGGCUUCGGCCCAAAAUGGUUUUUGGUUUUCCAGAGAUCGCCUUUUGAUGAGCUUGCGUCUGAUUAGCUAGUUGGGGAGGUAAUGGCUCACCAAGGCGACGAUCAGUAGCUGGUUUGAGAGAAUGAUCAGCCACACUGGGACUGAGACACGGCCCAGACUCCUACGGGAGGCAGCAGUGAGGAAUUUUUCGCAAUGGGCGCAAGCCUGACGGAGCAAUACUGCGUGGAGGAUGAAGGCUCGUGGGCUGUAAACUCCUUUUCCCAGAGAAGAAGUUCUGACGGUAUCUGGGGAAUAAGCAUCAGCUAACUGCGUGCCAGCAGCUGCGGUAAUACGUGGGAUGCAAGCGUUAUCCGGAUUUAUUGGGCGUAAAGCGUCUGUAGGUGGCUUUGCAAGUGUGUUGUUAAAUCGUUCAGCUCAACUGAAUUCAAGCAUCACAAACUACAAAGCUCGAGUGCGGUAGAGGAAGAGGGAAUUCCCUGUGGAGCGGUGAAAUGCGUAGAGAUAGGGAAGAACACCGACGGCGAAAGCACUCUUCUGGGCCUGCACUGACACUGAGAGACGAAAGCUAGGGGAGCGAGUAGGAUUAGAUACCCUAUUAGUCCUAGCCGUAAACGAUGGAAACUACAUUUUGGGUGCUAUGAGGCGCAAGUCUCAAACGUGAUUUUUUCACACAUUCAGAGUGGUAGCUAACGCGUUAAGUUUCCCGCCUGGGAAGUAUGCUCGCAAGAGUGAAACUCAAAGGAAUUGACGGGAGCCCGCACAAGCGGUGGAGCAUGUGGUUUAAUUCGAUGCAACACGAAGAACCUUACCAGGGCUUGACAUGUCACGAAGAAGAGAGAAAUUUCUUUGUGCUUUGGAAAUGUUUAGUUUGGCUUGCCAGAUUAGACGAAGCUAUUGGGCGUGAACACAGGUGGUGCAUGGCUGUCGUCAGCUCGUGAUGCGAAUUGUUCUGUUAAGUCAGAUAACGAGCGCAACCCUCGUGCUUUGUUCGGUACCUGGGCCUAUGGCCCUCGUAGAUGUCAAAGCAGACUGCUGGUGAGAAAUCAGAGGAAGGUGAGGAUGAUGUCAAGUCAGCAUGCCCCUUACGCCCUGGGCUACACACGUGCUACAAUGGCCAACACAAAGAGAUGCAACGGGGCGACCCCAAGCCAACCUCAAAAAAUUGGUCUCAGUUCAGAUUGCAGGCUGCAACUCGCCUGCAUGAAGGUGGAAUCGCUAGUAAUCGCCGGUCAGCUAUACGGCGGUGAAUCCGUUCCCGGGCUUUGUACACACCGCCCGUCACACCAUGGGAGCUGACUAUGCCCAAAGUCAUUACUCUAACGAGUUUACUCGAGGGGGAUGCCUAAGGCAGAGUGAGUGACUGGGGUG